rnacentral:rRNA from 1 species
GGGUUGUGAGGUUAAGCGACUAAGCGUACACGGUGGAUGCCCAGGCAGUCAGAGGCGAUGAAGGACGUGCUAAUCUGCGUAAAGCGACGGUAAGGUGAUAUGAACCGCUACAGCCGUCGAUGUCCGAAUGGGGAAACCCGGUGCACUCUGUGCAUCAUUGCAGCAUGAAUACAUAGUGCUGCAAGGCGAACCGGGGGAACUGAAACAUCUAAGUACCCCGAGGAAAAGAAAUCAACCGAGAUUCCCCCAGUAGCGGCGAGCGAACGGGGAGCAGCCCAGAGCCUGAAUCAGCAUGUGUGUUAGUGGAAGCGUCUGGAAAGUCGCAGGGUACAGGGUGAUACUCCCGUACACAAAAGCACAUAUGCUGUGAGCUCGAUGAGUAAGGCGGGACACGUGGUAUCCUGUCUGAAUAUGGGGGGACCAUCCUCCAAGGCUAAAUACUCCUGACUGACCGAUAGUGAACCAGUACCGUGAGGGAAAGGCGAAAAGAACCCCGGCGAGGGGAGUGAAACAGAACCUGAAACCGUGUACGUACAAGCAGUGGGAGCCUUGAUUUAUCAGGGUGACUGCGUACCUUUUGUAUAAUGGGUCAGCGACUUAUAUUCUGUAGCAAGGUUAACCGUAUAGGGGAGCCGCAGGGAAACCGAGUCUUAACUGGGCGUUAAGUUGCAGGGUAUAGACCCGAAA